rnacentral:rRNA from 1 species
GACGAACGCUGGCGGCGUGCUUAACACAUGCAAGUCGAACGAUGAGGCCGGAGCUUGCUCUGGUGAAUUAGUGGCGAACGGGUGAGUAACACGUGAGUAACCUGCCCUUGACUCUGGGAUAACUGCUAGAAAUGGUAGCUAAUACCGGAUACGACCCUCGGAGGCAUCUCCAGGGGGUGGAAAGAAUUUCGGUCAAGGAUGGACUCGCGGCCUAUCAGCUAGUUGGUGAGGUAACGGCUCACCAAGGCGACGACGGGUAGCCGGCCUGAGAGGGUGACCGGCCAAACUGGGACUGAGACACGGCCCAGACUCCUCCGGGAGGCAGCAGUGGGGAAUAUUGCACAAUGGGCGCAAGCCUGAUGCAGCAACGCCGCGUGAGGGAUGACGGCCUUCGGGUUGUAAACCUCUUUUAGUAGGGAAGAAGCGAAAGUGACGGUACCUGCAGAAAAAGCACCGGCUAACUACGUGCCAGCCGCCGCCGUAA